rnacentral:tRNA from 1 species
GCAAUAAUAGCUUAAUUAUAAAGCAUUGGUCUUGUAAGUCAAAGAUGAAAAAAAAUUUCUUAUUGUU